GAUGAACGCUGGCGGCGUGCCUAAUACAUGCAAGUCGAGCGAACAGACGAGGAGCUUGCUCCUCUGACGUUAGCGGCGGACGGGUGAGUAACACGUGGAUAACCUACCUAUAAGACUGGGAUAACUUCGGGAAACCGGAGCUAAUACCGGAUAAUAUAUUGAACCGCAUGGUUCAAUAGUGAAAGACGGUUUUGCUGUCACUUAUAGAUGGAUCCGCGCCGCAUUAGCUAGUUGGUAAGGUAACGGCUUACCAAGGCGACGAUGCGUAGCCGACCUGAGAGGGUGAUCGGGCACCAUGGAACCGGGAAACGGUCCCGGCUCCCAAGGGGGGGAAGAGGAGGGGAUUUUUCCGCAAUGGGCGAAGCCCGACGGAGCCAACCCGCGUUAGGGGAUAAGGGUUUCGGAUCCGUAAACUUCUGUAAUAGGGAAAAAAAAAAGUUGAAGGAAACAAGGAAGGCCUGACCGGAACUAAUCAGAAAGCCACGGCUAACUACGUG
rnacentral:rRNA from 1 species